rnacentral:rRNA from 1 species
AGAGUUUGAUCAUGGCUCAGGAUGAACGCUGGCGGCGUGCUUAACACAUGCAAGUCGAACGGUAAGGUCCCCUUCGGGGGAUACACGAGUGGCGAACGGGUGAGUAACACGUGGGCAACCUGCCCCUCACAUCGGGAUAACCAUUGGAAACGAUGGCUAAUACCGGAUACUCCGCGAGGAUCACAUGGUCCUUUCGGGAAAGCUCCGGCGGUGAGGGAUGGGCCCGCGCCCCAUUAGCUUGUUGGUGAGGUAACGGCUCACCAAGGCGACGAUGGGUAGCCGAGCUGAGAGGCUGACCGGCCACACUGGGACUGAGACACGGCCCAGACUCCUACGGGAGGCAGCAGUGGGGAAUUUUGCACAAUGGGCGAAAGCCCGAUGCAGCAACGCCGCGUGCGGGAUGAAGGCUCUCGGGUUGUAAACCGCUUUCAGCAGGGACGAACGUGACGGUACCUGCAGAAGAAGCCCCGGCUAAAUACGUGCCAGCAGCCGCGGUAAUACGUAUGGGGCAAGCGUUAUCCGGAUUCAUUGGGCGUAAAGCGCGUGUAGGCGGCUUGUUAAGUCAGAUGUGAAAACCGGGGGCUUAACCCGCGGCCUGCAUCUGAAACUGACAGGCUUGAGUCUGGUAGAGGAAAGUGGAAUUCCUAGUGUAGCGGUGAAAUGCGCAGAUAUUAGGAGGAACACCAGUGGCGAAGGCGGCUUUCUGGGCCACGGCUGACGCUGAGACGCGAAAGCUAGGGGAGCAAACAGGAUUAGAUACCCUGGUAGUCCUAGCCGUAAACGAUGGGCACUAGGUGUGGGAGGUCAUCGACUCCUUCCGUGCCGUAGCUAACGCAUUAAGUGCCCCGCCUGGGGAGUACGGCCGCAAGGCUAAAACUCAAAGGAAUUGACGGGGGCCCGCACAAGCAGCGGAGCAUGUGGCUUAAUUCGACGCAACGCGAAGAACCUUACCAGGUCUUGACAUGUAGAGAAAAGCGGCGGAAACGUCGUGUCCGCAAGGGCUCUACACAGGUGGUGCAUGGCUGUCGUC